rnacentral:misc_RNA from 1 species
AACUUUCAGCAACGGAUCACUUGGCUCUCGCAUCGAUGAAGAACGCAGCGAAAUGCGAUAAGUAAUGUGAAUUGCAGAUUUUCAGUGAAUCUUUGAACGCACCUUGCGCCCCUUGGUAUUCCGAGGGGCAUGCCUGUUUGAGUGUCAUUAAAUUCUCAACUCCGAUUUGAUUUGUUUCUAAUCGGAGCUUGGACUUGGAGCGUGCUGGCGUCUAGUCGGCUCCUCUCAAAUGCAUCAGCGGAAUCUAACCUUUGGUUUCCAGACGUCGGUGUGAUAAUAAAGUUGCGCCGUCGUUCGACUUCAAAGUCCGCUUAUAAUGGUCUUCGGACGAACUCUUAUAUCAAAUUUGACCUCAAAUCAGGUAGGACUACCCGCUGAACUUAAGCAUAUCAAUAAGCGGAGGCU